rnacentral:lncRNA from 10 species
CGGAGGGAAGCAGACGGGGAGUCGGUGGCGGCCGCCGAGUCCGCAUGCGCAGGCUGCAAAGGCCCUUUUGGGCCGGUCCCGCCGCGCUAGGUUGGCGAGUGGGACUAUUUGAUCCUUUCCAGGUUCGCCAGCGUGGUGUUACGAGAGGAAAGCGCAGCCGCAGCGUACGAAUGGGAAGGCCAAACACGGUCCCGGGGAGUCUGAGGGAAGCUGCAGGGCGCCUGGAAUUGGGGUCUCGAGUGAGCCGGUAAAAACCGCCUCCCGCUGAGCGUCCCGGAACAAAUACUGUCUGAACUGAGCCGUAAGCAAGAAACGGUCAGGAGAAGCUGGGGCGAUCUGAUGAUUAGAACAUUUCAGGGACUACCAGAGAGAAGUGCGUAAUUGCUCUAAGGCAGGUAGGUAAUUGGCCUGGAAACUUGGGAACGCCCCGCCCCCCACCCCGACUUUCAGCAAACCACCGUGCCCAGGAAAAAGAGCGAUUGUGGAAGACCCUGUGAAGAAGAGACCAGGAAGGCACUGUGGCUUAAGAGAGCAAGGCGUUCCUGAAUGCAGCCAACAUCAACUGGUAAACAAAAAACUGUGAGAACGGAUCCUGAAUCUUGCGCUUACCAGGGGAAAUUCAGGAGAGAUAUGAACCUGAGCAAGAUGAGGUUGAAGUUACUCAAUGCGGCAUUAAGCCUGUUCACGGCCACUUCCUCCGGCGUCACCAACACACACACUGUACACCAGCAGUAUUUUUACACGGGGUAUGUGUGUUAAGUACUAUCAGGUGGAUAAUUAUUACUUCACCUGUAUUUGCUGCCUUGAUACCAUUAGAGAAACUCAUGAAUUAUAAAUAGCAUAGUGAAUUUGUGAUUCCCUGAAGAUAUACUAAGGUGGACUUUUAAAAAGGCUUCUAUUCCAAAGGGAACUAAUAUGGAGGAAAUGGUUUCGAGAAAGAAAAAAGAAAAAACGGAGUCCUUGAUUAGUUGUGGGGAAGGCAACAUAAUGUAAUGUGAAGAAUAAAGGAGUCAGAUCCAGGAAACCCCAUAACUAUUAUGUAAGUUAUCUUCAUCUGUAAAGUGGUUAGGAUCCUGAUAGUCUCAAAGGUUUGUUUUGAGGUUUCAUGAAGCAGAUAAAUAUUCUUGUAAAUUGUAGAAUGUUAUACCAGUGUUACUCAUUAUUCUAACAAGAGCAGAGUAGUGAAGAGAGGCUCCUUCAGAAAUUCCUUGGGAUUUUUUUUUUUUUGGCUUCUGUUUUUUUAUAUCACAAGGUAGUGUCUCUGAAAAAUGGUAGAUGAUUUCAAUGUCCACAAAUAUGCAGGUGUAGACAUUCAAUUGAGGUACUGUACCCAAGGCAGCCAGCAAAAUGCUGAACAUAGAAAAUAACUUUGUAAACAAAAUGCAAUAUUUCUAGACAGUGAGUUAUCACCAGUGUGCUGCCUAUGACCCUGGCCUUAAGGAAAAAGUAGCAGAGCUGAAGAAGUUCUAAGGAUGGAAAUUAAAAAUUAUUAAGGAGAUAAUAGACUUCGUGUUAUAGGAAAUAAAAAUAGCAAGGGUCUUCAAUGGUGAGUGAUUUUGAGAUUAAUUACAUAACUAUGAAUUCUGUAAUAUUAGAACUAAGCUUUACAAAGCAUUCCUUAAAAAAAGAUAAUUUUACAACAAAGGUAACAUUAGACAGAAAAAAAUGUACAAAACUAAAAUUAAGUGAUUAAUGCUUGGGAAUGUUUCCUCCAAUGUUCAUCUAGUCAUGGUUUUCACGAAUCACUCUUGCCAAUAAAACCGAAAAUCAAAGUAA